AAAAAAGGUAAGCUACUAAGAGCGAAUGGUGGAUGCCUUGACUGGUAAAGGCGAUGAAGGACGUACUAGACUGCGAUAAGCUACGGGGAGCUGUCAAGAAGCUUUGAUCCGUAGAUUUCCGAAUGGGGCAACCCAAUGUAUAGAGAUAUACAUUACCUAUAUAGGAGCGAACGAGGGGAAUUGAAACAUCUUAGUACCCUCAGGAAAAGAAAUCAAUAGAGAUUGCGUCAGUAGCGGCGAGCGAAAGCGUAAGAGGGCAAACCCAGUGCUUGCACUGGGGGUUGUAGGACUGCAAUGUGCAAGAGGUGAGUUUAGCAGAACAUUCUGGAAAGUAUAGCCAUAGAGGGUGAUAGUCCCGUAUGCGAAAAACAAACCUUAGCUAGCAGUAUCCUGAGUAGGGCGGGACACGAGAAAUCCUGUCUGAAGCUGGGUCGACCACGAUCCAACCCUAAAUACUAAUACCAGAUCGAUAGUGCACAAGUACCGUGAGGGAAAGGUGAAAAGAACCGCGGUGAGCGGAGUGAAAUAGAACCUGAAACCAUUUGCUUACAAUCAUUCAGAGCACUAUGUAGCAAUACAGUGUGAUGGACUGCCUUUUGCAUAAUGAGCCUGCGAGUUGUGGUGUCUGGCAAGGUUAAGCAAACGCGAAGCCGUAGCGAAAGCGAGUCUGAAUAGGGCGCUUAGUCAGAUGCUGCAGACCCGAAACGAAGUGAUCUAUCCAUGAGCAAGUUGAAGCUAGUGUAAGAACUAGUGGAGGACUGAACCCAUAGGCGUUGAAAAGCCCCGGGAUGACUUGUGGAUAGGGGUGAAAGGCCAAUCAAACUUCGUGAUAGCUGGUUCUCUCCGAAAUAUAUUUAGGUAUAGCGUUGUGUCGUAAUAUAAGGGGGUAGAGCACUGAAUGGGCUAGGGCAUACACCAAUGUACCAAACCCUAUCAAACUCCGAAUACCUUAUAUGUAAUCACAGCAGUCAGGCGGCGAGUGAUAAAAUCCGUCGUCAAGAGGGAAACAACCCAGACUACCAGCUAAGGUCCCUAAAUCUUACUUAAGUGGAAAACGAUGUGAAGUUACUUAAACAACCAGGAGGUUGGCUUAGAAGCAGCCAUCCUUUAAAGAAAGCGUAAUAGCUCACUGGUCUAGUGAUUUUGCGCGGAAAAUAUAACGGGGCUAAAGUAAGUACCGAAGCUGUAGACUUGAUUUUAUCAAGUGGUAGGAGAGCGUUCUAUUUGCGCCGAAGGUAUACCGGUAAGGAGUGCUGGAGCGAAUAGAAGUGAGCAUGCAGGCAUGAGUAGCGAUAAUUAAUGUGAGAAUCAUUAACGCCGUAAACCCAAGGUUUCCUACGCGAUGCUCGUCAUCGUAGGGUUAGUCGGGUCCUAAGUCGAGUCCGAAAGGGGUAGACGAUGGCAAAUUGGUUAAUAUUCCAAUACCAACAUUAGUGUGCGAUGGAAGGACGCUUAGGGCUAAGGGGGCUAGCGGAUGGAAGUGCUAGUCUAAGGUCGUAGGAGGUUA
rnacentral:rRNA from 1 species